rnacentral:misc_RNA from 1 species
AAGGUCAUCUAGUCUCUUACUGAUAAAUGAAGAAUAUAGAAGCUGCCUCCUCAGUCACCCGGUAACAGUUAACACACAGUCUGACAGUCAUUCCUGCCUCCUCAGUCACCUGGCAACAGUUAACACACAGUCUGACAGUCAUUCCUGCCUCCUCAGUCACCUGGCAACAGUUAACACACAGUCUGAGUCAUUCCUGCCUCCUCAGUCACCUGGCAACAGUUAACACAGUCUGACAGUCAUUCCUGCCUCCUCAGUCACCUGGCAACAGUUAAAACACAGUCUGACAGUCAUUCCUGCCUCCUCAGUCACCCAGCAACAGUUAAAACAGUCUGACAGUCACUAAGAUGGGGUGGCUGAACAAGGUGGUGGUGGGGCUGAUGGUGGUUCUUAUCGCCUAUAAACUCUCCAAGAUGAACAAGGAGCCUCCACUACCAACCCUUGACCCCAACCCUUGGUGGGCACCUGGAGAACCACAACAGGAAGACGUCUCCAUCAAUCGCUUCAACAUCAAUUUCUCCAAAAAGGAGGUAGAUGACCUAAAGGCCCGUCUGGCGCUGCCCUUGAGACUCACCCCAGGCCUGGAAGACGCCAACUUCACCUAUGGCAUCAACGCCGACACCUUACACACAAUUGUACAAUACUGGAGAAAGAAAUAUGACUGGAACAAGAGGCAGACUAGACUUAACACCUAUCCUCACUUCAAGACUCGCAUCGAGGGUCUAGACAUUCACUUCAUGCGAGCAAGUGCCAAGGUGGGGAGUGCCAAGAAUGUGAAGGUAGUGCCACUGUUGUUGAUCCACGGGUGGCCGGGCUCCUUCGUGGAGUUCUAUGACAUCUUGCCGCUGCUCACCAACCCACAGGAGGGCAGCAGUGUUGUGUUUGAGGUUAUCUGUCCCUCCAUCCCUGGCUAUGGCUUCUCUCAGGGCUCAUCCAAACAAGGUUUUGGUCAGCUUGAAGUAGCCCAGGUGUUCCUUAAGCUGAUGAAGAGGCUGGGAUACAAGCAGUUCUACCUACAGGGUGGAGACUGGGGUUCACUCAUAGCUUCCAACAUGGCCACUAUGUACCCUAACAAUACCUUGGGCGUCCAUUUGAAUAUGAUAUCAGUACGCACUAAUGCCGUCUCCUUGAAGAUGAUACUGGGGGCCUACCUGCCAGCUGGGGUGUUGGUGGCAAAGGAAGACCAGGAUAAAAUAUACCCCUUGUCCAACCUCUAUUCUAUGAUCCUCCGUGAGUCUGGCUACGCGCACCUCCAGGCCACCAAACCCGACACUAUUGGAGCGGCACUUAACCAGAGCCCAGUAAGCCUGGCAGCGUACAUCUUGGAGAAGUUCAGCAGCUGGACCCACAGGGACAACCUUCACCAGCCUGAUGGUAGCCUCUUGCAGCAACACUUUCCUAUAUCUCUUGAUGCUAUGUUGGACAAUAUCUGCAUCUACUGGUUCACCAGUUCCAUCACCACCAGCGUCCGGUUUUACUCUGAGGUGAUGAACAAGAACAUGUUCACAAGGUCUUUAGACAAUAAUCCAUGCCGGGUACCUGCAGGUUUUGCCGUCUUCCCACAGGAGAUAAUGACCCUUCCCAAGAACCUCGUAUCUCACAAGUUCUAUAACAUUGUAUCAUUCAACGACCAGCCGGCAGGAGGCCACUUUGCCGCCAUGGAGCGACCAGCACUCCUGGCGGCAGACCUUCACCAGUUUGUCAACACCGUAGAGAAGGGAACUUGAACUCUUAUCACCACCACUAACUCUUCUCUUAUCAUCUUAAAACCUUUCACUACCCCCAGAGAUGAGUUAUCCUGAGAAUCGAGGAAUGGUGGUGACUUGCUGGGAACAUUAUCAGUGUAGUUUCAAAGGUUAAAUAAAUACAGUACUGUAAGUUAAGAGAAAAACCAACCUUUUUAAAUGGCCAGUACAGUGAGGUGAUUAUUAGCUAGAUGAUAAAUAAGUAAAUAUAAAUUGACACUUAUGUUAAAAAUGAUGUGAUGAACAAUGUAACUCAAGUGUAUAAUGACUAGGAAGAGAAAAUAAAUUAUAUACUGUC